rnacentral:rRNA from 1 species
UACGGGGGGGGCAAGCGUUGUUCGGAAUUACUGGGCGUAAAGGGCUCGUAGGCGGCCAACUAAGUCCGACGUGAAAUCCCAAGGCUUAACCUUGGAACUGCGUCGGAUACUGGAUGGCUUGAGAUUGGGAGAGGGAUGCGGAAUUCCAGGUGUAGCGGUGAAAUGCGUAGAUAUCUGGAGGAACACCGGUGGCGAAGGCGGCAUCCUGGACCAACACUGACGCUGAGGAGCGAAAGCCAGGGUAGCAAACGGG